rnacentral:rRNA from 1 species
UACGAAGGGUGCAAGCGUUACUCGGAAUUACUGGGCGUAAAGCGUGCGUAGGUGGUUCGUUAAGUCUGAUGUGAAAUCCCUGGGCUCAACCUGGGAAUGGCAUUGGAUACUGGCGACCUAGAGUGCGGUAGAGGGGUGUGGAAUUCCCGGUGUAGCAGUGAAAUGCGUAGAUAUCGGGAGGAACAUCUGUGGCGAAGGCGACACCCUGGACCAGCACUGACACUGAGGCACGAAAGCGUGGGGAGCAAACAGG